rnacentral:tRNA from 1 species
UGGGGUAUAGCCAAGCGGUAAGGCAGGUGGCUCUGACCCACCGAUGCAUGUGUUCGAAUCACAUUACCCCAACCA